rnacentral:rRNA from 1 species
UACCGUUCCGGGCCUCGCACUUAGUUGGAUGACGCCUUAUGUCAGUAUUAGUCUUGUUGGGUGGGGUAAAGGCCUACCAAGGCGACGAUCUGUAGCUGGUCUGAGAGGACGAUCAGCCACACUGGGACUGAGACACGGCCCAGACUCCUACGGGAGGCAGCAGGUGGGGAAUAUUGCACAAUGGGCGAAAGCCUGAUGCAGCAAUGCCGCGUGUGUGAAGAAGGCCUGCGGGUUGUAAAGCACUUUCAGUAGGGAGGAAACAGUAGCCGGUUAAUAUCCGGUUGCCUUGACGUUACCUACAGAAGAAGCACCGGCUAACUCUGUG